rnacentral:misc_RNA from 1 species
UACGCCCGGGCAAAGCUAACACGCUGUCCGUACGAUAGACAACGACUGAAUGGCACUGCUGUAGGUAGUGUGCGUUGAACGUUCUGUGGCGGCUAGAUCUUGUUACGAUGUGGAAAACAUCGGCAGUAGGUACGUGCAUAUUUGCAUAAAUUAACGAGGGAGCAAAAUACGGUCUCAUCGAAAUAUCAUUCUUUUUAGAAAUUCCUUCCUUCGAAGAAGCAACCUGUUGAAACCGGUAAUCUGCAUCGCGAUAUCUUGUUGCUUUCGUUCGAACUGAUUAAUCUUCCUUAGGAAGAUGGAUGAUAUAUAGACCAGGGUAUAAUCGUGCGCUAUACCAGUCGAGCAACUACGAAAGAAUAAUCACAUCUUUUAUUACAAUCAUCGUAGAAUAUUAUGAUAAAAAAUCUGUUUCAGAAAGUUAACAUGCAACAUGGAAUUUGCGAUAAUUGUUUACAAAAUAUCGUUGUUUCGAUAAUUUAAUGCUUAAAGUAAAACACUGUGGAUCAAAACCACGUCUGAGUCACCAAAUUCUCAGAACGUUUCAACACACGCAAGCCGUAACUAGGUAAAUAAAUCUUCGUCAGAAGACAUUCGCAAGAGUCAAGCUUUCAACGAGCAACACUUUCCAGCCCCGAUAGAUUUCAUAACUUCAUUUCAAACUAUAAAGUAUUAAAAAUUACGUACACGAGCCUGACGCGGUAAUCACUUGCACUCGAAUAAACUCCUUAUUCUAUCAC